rnacentral:piRNA from 1 species
UGGGUAACUGACUGCAUCUCCAUCC